GGGCACAUGGUGUAGUUGGUUAUCACGCCCGCUUAGCACCUCUUCGUCUUGCGGGCGGUCCCCGGUUCAAUUCCGGGUGUGUCCA